rnacentral:tRNA from 1 species
GCCGCGAUGGUGGAAUUUUGGUAGACACGCUAGGUUGAGGGCCUAGUGGCCGUCAAAGGCCGUGGGAGUUCGAAUCUCCCUCGCGGCACAA